rnacentral:misc_RNA from 1 species
GAUGAAGAACGCAGCGAAAUGCGAUAAGUAAUGUGAAUUGCAGAAUUCAGUGAAUCAUCGAAUCUUUGAACGCACCUUGCGCUCCUUGGUAUUCCGAGGAGCAUGCCUGUUUGAGUGUCAUUAAAUUCUCAACCUCACCAGUUUUGUAACGAGACAGGUGAAGGCUUGGAUGUGGGGGUUUUGCAGGCUGCCUCAGUGCUGGUCUGCUCUCCUGAAAUGCAUUAGCGAGCUCAUAUUGAGCUUCCGUCUAUUGGUGUGAUAAUUAUCUACGCCGUGGAUUGGACUCAUGCUUGCUUCUAACCGUCCGCAAGGACAAUUUACUUGACCAAUUUGACCUCAAAUCAGGUAGGACUACCCGCUGAACUUAAGCAUAUCAUAAGCGGAGGA